CCUACGGGUGGCAGCAGUGGGGAAUAUUGCACAAUGGGGGAAACCCUGAUGCAGCGACGCCGCGUGCAGGAAGAAGUAUUUCGGUAUGUAAACUUCUAUCAGCAGGGAAGAAAAUGACGGUACCUGACUAAGAAGCCCCGGCUAACUACGUGCCAGCAGCCGCGGUAAUACGUAGGAGGAGAGCGUUAUCCGGAUUUACUGGGUGUAAAGGGAGCGUAGGCGGUUUAGCAAGUCAGAAGUGAAAGCCCGGGGCUCAACUCCGGGACUGCUGUUGAAACUGUUGAACUAGAGUGCAGGAGAGGUAAGUGGAAUUCCUAGUGUAGCGGUGAAAUGCGUAGAUAUUAGGAGGAACACCAGUGGCGAAGGCGGCUGACUGGACUGUAAAUGACGCUGAGGCUCGAAAGCGUGGGGAUCAAACAGGAUUAGAUACCCUUGUAGUC
rnacentral:rRNA from 1 species